GCCGGGAGGGCAGGGCAGGGCAGAGCGGUGUCCGCCGAGCAGCGCCCGGGGGGGACGGCCCGGCGCGGGAAAGGUUUUGCUGUGGUAUAUUUUGUCAUUAUGAGAUGUCGUCUACCAGUGCUUCAUUUGUGCAAAUUAAAUUUGAUGACUUGCAGUUUUUUGAGAACUGCGGUGGAGGGAGUUUUGGGAGUGUCUACCGAGCCCGAUGGAUUUCUCAGGACAAGGAGGUGGCAGUAAAGAAGCUGCUCAAAAUAGAAAAAGAGGCAGAAAUACUCAGUGUGCUCAGUCACAAAAACAUCAUUCAGUUCUAUGGAGCUGUCAUUGAACCUCCAAAUUAUGGCAUAGUUACAGAGUAUGCUUCUGCUGGCUCACUGUUUGAUUACAUUAAUAGUAACAAAAGUGAAGAGAUGGAUAUGGAUCAUAUCAUGACCUGGGCCACUGACAUAGCUAAAGGAAUGCACUAUUUACACAUGGAAGCUCCAGUCAAAGUUAUCCACAGGGACCUGAAGUCCAGGAAUGUUGUUAUAGCUGCUGAUGGUGUGUUAAAGAUCUGUGAUUUUGGUGCCUCAAGAUUCCACUCCCAUACGACACACAUGUCAUUAGUGGGCACUUUCCCAUGGAUGGCUCCAGAAGUUAUUCAAAGUCUUCCAGUGUCUGAAACAUGUGACACGUACUCGUACGGAGUGGUUCUCUGGGAGAUGCUAACAAGGGAGGUCCCCUUUAAAGGCUUGGAAGGAUUACAAGUAGCUUGGCUUGUAGUGGAAAAAAACGAGAGAUUAACCAUUCCAAGCAGUUGUCCCAGAAGUUUUGCAGAACUGAUGCACCAAUGUUGGGAUGCUGAUUCAAAGAAAAGACCAUCUUUCAAGCAGAUUAUUUCAAUCCUGGAAUCUAUGUCAAAUGACAGCAACCUUCCAGACCAGUGUAACUCAUUCCUGCAUAACAAGGCGGAGUGGAGAUGUGAAAUUGAGGCAACCUUAGAGAGACUAAAGAAACUGGAGCGUGAUCUGAGCUUUAAAGAGCAGGAACUAAAGGAACGGGAGAGACGUUUGAAGAUGUGGGAGCAGAAGUUAACUGAACAAUCAAAUACUCCUUUUUUCUUACCUCUUGCUGCAAGAAUGUCUCAGGAGUCUUACUUUGAAUCUAAAACAGAGGAGUCAAACAGUGCAGAGAUGUCAUGUCAGAUCACAGCAACAAGUAACGGGGAGGUAGCUGGCAUGAACCAAAGUCUGAAGGCCUUGAUGAUGACGGGCUUUGGGGAUAUCUUCUCUCUGAACCAAGCAGGAUCUGUCCUGCAUUCUGGAAUGCAGAUAAACAUGCAAGCCAAAAAGAAUUCUUCUAAAACCACCUCUAUGAGAAAAGGGAAGAAAAUCAACAUGGCUUUGGGUUUCAGUGAAUUCGACUGGUCAGAUGACGAUGAUGAUGAUGAUGAUUUUGAUGACACAGAUGAUAGCAGCGAAUGAAAUAAGUUGUAGAAUUAACCCUGAAAUCGUUUUAGCAAAGCAAAACAAUAAAGUUUUAGAACAAGAAUCCUGUCAGUUUGGUCUGUUUAAAUCCUGUAAAAGAACAAAAAACCAACAAACAACAAUGAUAUUUACCAGGGUGAGCAUAUUUGUAUGUAGAAAGAUAUGUUUUUAUUUUGGUUGUGCCGACUUAAUUCUACUUUGAUGAAAUUUGGAACUAAACUUUCCCAACUAAUUGAGAUUAUUAGUUACUAUUUAAUGAUUCUGUCUAUAAUUCCUAGUGCCUGAUUACAGAAACUAUGGCUUGAUAAAUUUAAGAUCUGGAAACACUGGGAGAAACUUCAAUGCCUUUAAUGUACUUCAAAUUUUUCUUUUGUGUUUUUUGUCAUUUCCCUUACCCCCUUAAUUGUCAGUCACAUGCAUAUGCUUGUACUUCCAAAUUUGCUAUUCUCUGCAUCCAUUCUUUCUUACUGUUGUAGUGAAGGGGUUUGCUGUGUUUCUAAUUUACAGCCUUUUUAAAGGCAACAUUGUGGGAAGACACAUACAGGUUUCCGGGAAGAGAGAAGCUGGGGGUGGGGGGGAAGGGAGGGGUUGGUUAAAGAUAUAAUUUAAAAACUGAAUAGCAGCAGAACCCAGAUAAUCCCUAUUAGUAGAUGAUUUGUAUAAAUGUUCUUUUUUUCCUCCCUCACGUGUAUGUGCAUGUGUAUAUAAUUCACUCUCCCAAAGUAAACUGCAAUCAGACCUCUGCAUCUAUUAUCAGAUAUUGUGAUCUAGAAGCUAAUUUUCGGUUAUGUUGAUGUGAAUCCAUGAAGCCUCAUUAACUUUGAUGGAUUUAUUCUUGUACCUGAGAGCAAAAACCGGUGUUUGUAAAUUUUGAUUGUUGUAUGUGCUAAACAGCGUGUGCCAUCCUUAGGAAAGGACAAAGAGAUGCUACUGUGACAUUUCAGCUUGGGCCCUACUCCUGUGGCUUGUGGAAAUUAUCGUAGUAGAAUCUGGCAGUAAUGUCAGGAGUAUUUACUAGUCUCUGCAUAACUAUUUUUUGCAGCUACAGUACUUUCAAAGUAUUGUCACUGCUGUUACAGCUUACCAUAAAAUUCAGUGUGUAACAAUCUGCUGCAAUAAUUACCUGCCAGGCACUUACAUUGAGAGCAGUGAGGAUGUUUCUCCUGAUGACCCCUUUAGUGGUGAUGCAGAAGGAGGGAGGGAAACCAGUGCGAACACAGAUGCAGGUUAGAAAGGAAAAUGUUGUAAAAUAUUUGCCAAGGAAGAAGGGCAGCAUUUCAAAAGAAAAAUGUUACUGUGUAGUUCAGCAGUAGUAGGAAUAAGCCAUCAAAAUUCCAUUCUCAAUUACUGGAAGGGUUUCUUUUAUAAAACUUCUGGUUUUGAGUGGCUUCUUUAAUUAUAGACUUGCCUGUUACAUAGCUCUAACCUACAUAUUAUGGUGUUGUGUGGUUAGCUUAGAGAAAAAUGGAUACAUUAGAUAACAGCAGGCCUGAAAUCAUUACCUGUUCACUCAACAAAACAAAGUGGGCCCCUCUUAUGGUUGUGAGAAAGAAUUGUUUUAUCUUUAAGUGUCAGCACUGAUCUGGUCACCUGCAAGGCACAAGUGCUGCGCUUCAAGCUGGCCUACUCAAUUCUGUUUGCACAGGAUUAGACCUACCUGAGAUGCGUGGUUCCUGCAGGAUGUCAUUCAACCUUCUUCCAAACACUCCCAAAUCUAUUGACUUGAACCUAACCCUCUUGUAUCUGGAAGCUUUUCUCAUUAUGAAAUUAUCAUUUAAAUGAUGCAGUAGAUGUUCAAAGUAUCCCAAGGAGAAACUUUGGCUCAGGUGGAGAUGGCUUCUUAGGUCCAUCAAAGCAACCCUAUUUUAGGGAGAAAAAGAGACUUGGAAGGGCAAAUAAUGAAAUGGAAAUAAGAUCAAAUAGCCUUUUCCAGUGUAGAUUUGUACUAUUUUUUUAAGUCUAUGUCUGCUUACACCUAAAGCAAUGAUACUAUUUUUGUAACUGCCACUUUGCACUCAGCAAAAUUUGAUGGAUUUGUGUAAUGUAAUGUGUGCACUUUAGGUCUUAAGAUAUGUAUCAUUGUGCAUAGAUUACUGUACCACAUAAACAGUGUAGGGUUGUACAACUGAAAAUAAAAUUUGGUUCAGUACAUUUUGAAUUCAAAAACCCUGAAAAAUCUGUUCCUAGCAUUGAUAUUUUGCACUUUUUUGGUGUUUGACAAUUUUGAAGCACUUCAUGCACGUUUCUGUUUGUGUGGAUUUUAACUGAAUUUGUAAAUUCACUCCUUAAUCUUUACAGAAAUAAAAAUAGUUUUUAAGUAGCAUGACACAGAUUUUCAUAGUUACAACAUCACAAGGUUUAAGUCUGUCUUCAAGGUUUUGUGCUUACCCAGGGAUGUGACUUACAUCAGCAAAUAUCAUCAGAAUGUGGUAACAUGAUUGUAAUAAUUUCUACUAUCUACUUAUUUCAAUAUUUUUUAAUGAAGCAAGAUGGAUUUUUUUCCCCUUUGGCUUUUUUCCCCAUGUUGUUUCUCAAAGCAAAUAGAACUGCAUUAAGGGAAAAGUUAAGCUCUUUUAAAACUUCCUCGUGCAUUUAAAGUAGCAAAGGUGACCUCUGAAUUGUAGAUAAGGUGAUAACAAGCUCUUCUGAUGCAGUUGAGAUAGUGUUACACUUAGGAUAUUGGCUAUGCUUACUAAAAAAACAGUGGUAUUAUUUGCAUUUUUACUCACCUGUGAUAGUUUCACACCAGGUGUCUCCAGCUUACAAGCCACUUAUCAUAUGUGAGAAUCAAUGUGUUGUUUCUGCCUCUGAAAUGCUACUCAAUAGAUUAAGGUGUUGAAAAUGGUGGGCAGGUUGGAGGAGGUCAGAGUAUUUUAAUCCUUCAUACCUGAUUUUGCUCUGCAGUGUAUCCCAGUCCAUCUUCUGCCUGUCUCACCCCCAGGUUAUACAAAUCUCCACAACAGUCCACAGCCAUGUAGUGUGUCAGCUUAUGAAAGCAUUAACCAAACCCAGAAGGCAUUUCUGUUGCUGCUCUGGGCCAAAGCCAGGACAAACCACUAAAAGCCUUCCUGUGCCUUCUACACCUCUCAGCUCACUAGACCCUGCCUGGCCUUUUGGGUUCCCAGUUUCCUCUGUCUUCCAUAAAGCCUGAAGGUAUUUCUAGUAAAACAAUAUCACUGCAUUUGAUGGAGAGGAAAAGUAAGAACCAGGCCUGAACUUGGCGUUUUUACCAGGCUGCUGUACUGCAGACAUUAACUUAGGUGGGUAAGUGGCCUCAGAGAAGAAUGAGGAGGAUCGACUUUUGGCUUGCUUAAUGGUCAGCUGGGACCAAGACAGGUCUUUUCUUUUCCUUCAGCAGUGGUGAAAAAAAAAUGGAAAUGAGACUUAAUGAAGGAAAACUUUUGAUCUAGUCGUUUUUGUGACGAUGACAUCGCUAAUUUCUUGGAGUAGCAAGUGCCUUAAGGUACGGUGUGCUGCAUCGCCAGCCAUUGUUGCUCCCUGACAGGGAGUUGUCCGCUCUGGACAGGAAGGGCUUUCUGGAGGUGAGGUCUGGCACGGCCUCUUGUCAUAGUCAUGUUCAUGGCUCGUCAUUUGCUUAUCAUUCCAGAGGUUUUCUUAGGUGUUGAUUCCCUUUCCUUCUGGGUUUUAAAGUGUUUGUUCUGAGUUAAGUAUCUGAUGCAGUAAUGAUGGGUGUGGCUCUCAGCAGUAGCAGUAGAUCUGUAGUGUGCGUACAGCUGUUAAGUACUGAGCACUGUGCGUCUUUAGUGCUGUACUUCCUUUAUCUGUAAUCAGGCAGCUUUUACAGGUUUUUAAUAAGACCUCUUGACUUGACAGAGGUUUUAACUACAGUCCUAGGUAGAAUGUUCAUGUAGAAAAAGUAAAUUCAUUUAGUAAGUUUCACAGCCCUUAAAAUGCACUGGUAGGAAUCUGGAGGAGAGACCUUUCCCCUUUCCCCCAGGCUUCAACUUAGUGUACACUGUAAAAUCUGCACAGAGAUUUCUGAUGUGUGAAGAUUUAAUUUUAAAACUGUAGAACCAACAACUUUCUUUUAACAUUUUAUAUUGUGUGCUAAAUACUCAUAUGCCUUUUAAAGUCAGUUAUAGUCCACUGCAUUUCUUGCUUUUGCACUACUGAAGAAGUUUUGUACUGAAUAGUAUGAGUCUAUGCUAUUUACACUUCAGGUUUGAACUGAUGGAAUUCGAACAGAAAAUAUUUUCACAGUGUUAGAAAACUUCAUUUUCCCUUCUGAAAAAGCAAAGCUGAGUGCAAUGCCUAUGCCAAGACUUGUGCUGUAAACUGAAUAUAUCAUUUGUGUGGAACAUGCAAUGUUACACUUCUGUGUGGUAAAAUCUUGCAGUGUCAGUUAUCCUCUUUAUUGCACUUGACAUACCAUGUCUUGUUUUAUUCCCACUGUGGAUUCGAUUUUCCAGUGUAAAACCAAAGCAAGCAAACAAAAAGAAAUCAUACAAUGUAUUCAUUUUCCUUGAUUGGUGUCAUAAACUUUCUUUUGGUGUGAACUUUUCCCUUGCUUCUCUUUUGUUCCAAACUUCUAUUUUGCAAUAAACAUUUUGACAGUAAAUUUUAUGCAUUUGUGUCACUGUGUAAAACACUGGUGUUCCAUGAGGUUCCUUAUUGUCUGCUGGUUUAAGCCACUUUUUUGUAUU